UACAGGGGGUGCAAACGUUGCUCGGAAUUAUUGGGCGUAAAGCGCGCGUAGGCGGCUACUUAAGUCGGAUGUGAAAGCCCUUGGCUCAACUGAGGAAGUGCACCCGAAACUGAGUGGCUUGAGUACUAAAGAGGGUCGCGGAAUUCCUGGUGUAGAGGUGAAAUUCGUAGAUAUCGGGAGGAACACCGGUGGCGAAGGCGGCGACCUGGGUAGAUACUGACGCUGAGGCGCGAAAGCGUGGGGAGCAAACAGG
rnacentral:rRNA from 1 species